rnacentral:rRNA from 1 species
GGUACAGGAAGCAGCUUGCUGCUUCGCUGACGAGUGGCGGACGGGUGAGUAAUGUCUGGGAAACUGCCUGAUGGAGGGGGAUAACUACUGGAAACGGUAGCUAAUACCGCAUAACGUCGCAAGACCAAAGAGGGGGACCUUCGGGCCUCUUGCCAUCGGAUGUGCCCAGAUGGGAUUAGCUAGUAGGUGGGGUAACGGCUCACCUAGGCGACGAUCCCUAGCUGGUCUGAGAGGAUGACCAGCCACACUGGAACUGAGACACGGUCCAGACUCCUACGGGAGGCAGCAGUGGGGAAUAUUGCACAAUGGGCGCAAGCCUGAUGCAGCCAUGCCGCGUGUAUGAAGAAGGCCUUCGGGUUGUAAAGUACUUUCAGCGGGGAGGAAGGGAGUAAAGUUAAUACCUUUGCUCAUUGACGUUACCCGCAGAAGAAGCACCGGCUAACUCCGUGCCAGCAGCCGCGGUAAUACGGAGGGUGCAAGCGUUAAUCGGAAUUACUGGGCGUAAAGCGCACGCAGGCGGUUUGUUAAGUCAGAUGUGAAAUCCCCGGGCUCAACCUGGGAACUGCAUCUGAUACUGGCAAGCUUGAGUCUCGUAGAGGGGGGUAGAAUUCCAUGUGGU